ensembl:lncRNA
AUGCAAUGUAAUUUUUGCAAUCUAGCUUUUUUAAGGAAUGUCUUUUGGAUUGUGCCACUGUUCCUAGUUCUGGUGUCAGAUGCUUCAUCUCCUUGCAUGGACGAUAUCCGAUCACAGUACGAUAAUAUGUUAAGCAUCGAUAUUACAAAUCUGGAGGAUAUUCUUCAAAACACCUCAGACUUCAGAGGACGUUCCUGCAAUUCAACUAAGGAGAAUACAACUGGACAAAAUGCUGCUGUGUGUACGUGCUGCUGCAAGUCAAAUACGACAAAAGCACUAAGUUGUAUGGCACGGUGUCUAAAAAAGAUUUCUGAGACAUGUAUCACCAGUAGAUCUCAGCUACAACAUAGGAUGAGCUUGGUUUCAAACUGGACACUGAAGUUAUUAUUACAUCAGGUAUGUCUGCACAAGAACGUAAUUGUUAUUUGUUUGCUUCCAUUUACUGUUACUUGUACCUCAUAUUCUUAUCUAGAUAAAAUAAAAAGUAAAGAAAACAGCAAAGAUGUGAAAAACAUAAAAAAUUAUGAACAUUUGCCUAAACAUCCUGUGAACUGUUUUUCUGUUAAAAUUAUUGCGAUAAUUUCCAUAACAACCUUUAGUGUAGAAAGUGCUAUAAAGAUUUCUUCUGUCUUUACAAUAACCUUUAAAACAGAGGGCACUGAGAAACAGUGA